rnacentral:tRNA from 1 species
UCCGUUAUCGUCCAGCAUUUAGGAUAUCUGGCUUUCACCUAGGAGACCCGGGUUCGAUUCCCGGUAACGAAA